GCGGAAUUCAGAGGGUGUGUCCGAUGGGAGGCGGGGCGCGGUGGGGAGAAAUUGAAGGAGUGGGCCCUGGGGUGGGCCCAGAGAGCAGCUUUCUGGCUGCAGAGGGAUGAUCUAGAGCGAUGGAGCUGCAGUCCAGAGGCUCCCCGGGGCAAGGCUGUGGCCGCCAACCACCCAGACGCCGACCCGUGACCUGGGAAAUCUCCGAUUCGGAGCCCGAGAGCCCGGCCAGCUCCAACGCCGAGGGCCCCGGUGACCCAGAAGAAAUGACGCCCAGCUCCGGAGGCCUCGGCCCCCCGGCGGGGCCUGUGGCUGCUCCGGUGCGAGGCCGGCCUCGGGAAGGGAUGGGGAGAAGGGUGCGGGAGGAGCGGGGGGCUGCAGCAGCGCGAGUCGAGGCCCGGAAGAGGGUCCGGGAACUGGAGAAACAGAGACGCAAGGAGGCAGCCGAGGCCCUCCGGCUAAUGCGGCCCGACCACUGCCUGAGACACUUGACUGUCCUUCUGGACCCAGCUCUCCUAGAAAAUGCUGGCUCUGAUGUCCUGCUAGAGGCUUUGGGGUCCCUAAAAUGUGAGUAUGUCAUUGAGUCCCAGCCGUGGGUCCGAAGUCUCACCUGGAAGAGAUCAGUGCCAGCCAUCUGCCAGAGCAGUGCUGCUUCUGUUGCACCGUGGGCUGCAGAGGCUCAGGAAGUCGUGGUGGUCCUGGAACCAGAGGAGUUUCUCAAAGGCCUCCUCUCACUGGCACAGGGGCAUCCCACCGCUUGCUCUGUUCCUUGGAUCAUUCUUGAGAAUACCGAGGGCCAGACUCACUACCACCUGGCAGUCGUUGGACUUGAUGCUUAUCAGUGGUUUUCCCAGUCUGGUGCAAAGGGAGGUCAGCAGGAUUCAGAUGGAGUGCCAUCCAGCUCAAAGGUGGUUAUGACCCAACAGGAGGUGGAAGAGGCCUUGGUGCUUCUGCAGCUGCAGAAAAACCUGCCUGUGCUGCUGGUGCACUCGUGGCAGGAGCUGAGCCAGCACAUGUGUGCAUUAACCAAGGCCAUUGCCCAGUGCCCAUACAAACGGCACAUGGAAACACAGGCUUUCUCCUUUUGUCCUGUGGGGAGAUGGGCUGGUGGGAAGUGUGUGGCACAGGAUGGAAAGGGCCUUCGAGAUGCCUGGCGCAAACAGAUCCAGCAGUUCAACCGUGUCAGUCCCAGUAUGGCAGAUGCUGUCAUCACUGCAUUUCCUUCCCCAAGUCUACUAAGGCAGGCAUAUGCACUUUGUGCCACAGAGAAGGAACGCCUGUCUCUGCUCAGUGACAUUGCAGUGAAGAAAGAUGAUCAGGUUCAGGUCCGAAGAGUGGGCCCCGACUUAUCCCGUCGAGUCUACCUCUUCUUAACAUCAACUAAUCCUGACCUUUUGCUGGAUUUGAGCACAUAACUGUGGUGUUGCUGGGAGUGCGUUACAGAUCCUCUCCUACCCUUUUUUGGGUCUGAAGCUAUUUGUGUGGAGAGGAACACAACAUUAGACCCACUGGAAGAGAGACCUUGGUGGACAGAGCAGUGAAGGAGAGACAGCAACAACCUCAAAGACCCAGGCCAACAGGCCAUAUCCUGGUGGUGACUGUAAGAAGUGGCAUGGUGAAAGGCCCUCCUCCCCACCCUGCAUUGAGGGAGCGUUUAGUACAGCAGUUGGCUUUUUCUUGGUGCCUUAACUGCUCAGCUUUACUGUGGAGAUUUAAAGGGGCCAGGCUGGAGAACAAAGCCAUGGGGAAGGAGGAUAAGGGUGUUCAGUGCAGAAAUCGUGGGCGGCAAGAAACAUGAAAGGGGCAUGGAAGCAAGUAGACAAGGCAGCUUUGGGCACAAGCUUGGUAACCACCAUGGUCUUCUCUGUGCUGAGAAGAUAGGAGAGCAUAGAUUGGACUUCCUCCUCUCCUUGUGGAGAAGAAUCUUG